CCAGGGAUCCAACCCGGGUCUCCUCCAUUGCAGGUGGAUUCUUUAUCAUCUGAGCCACCAGGGUUAUAUAUAUUUUACAACAAUUAAAUUAAAAAAAAAAACCAACAAUGCAGCAGCAGAAAUGUCCUCUCCCGUGGGAAGCCCUGUUUAUGGCCUCCCUGGCAACAGAUGUCAAUGUCUUCUAGCCUCACUGGCCACACUCCUGUCCAGGGGCCCGUUGCUCAAGGCUCACCUUGCCUUGGCCUUCCUCACCUGUGAGGUAUCCCUGUUAGUGAGUGAGGUGUGUGGAUCUGCUGCUUCAGGUUUCAGGCCUCACCUGGAGCAGACUCUGGGAGCAGAUGUCACAACAAGCCCCAGAACCCCUGGAAAUGGGGCUGGAGAUGGCCUCUGAAGAAGUGGGUGGUUCUCUGAGGAGCCCCCCAAGAGAAUCUUGGUGUCCCGUGGAGGAUGCCAGGGCUGCCUAAGGCUGGGCCAACUCCAAGAAGAGCCUGGCCCAGGCCACCUGCUUGGCUACAGACUGCAGGACUCAGAGAUACACCUGGGCCUCGUCUACAAAGGCCACCACCUUCCCAGCACAAGCCAAGAGGGGCAUGAGACUCCCAGGCUCGGGGCGUGUCCCCUUGGCCAGGCACAGGAUGGGCAUUCCCCACCUCACUUGACACUACAAUAACCCAGUAGGAGGCAGGAUCCUUGAAUUCCUGCCUGGCCCUUGGUUGCUGCCACCCUCUGGACCAAGGGGCUUGAGGGGAUAGGAAGGAGCCUAGGACCUCACCAAUGGGGCUUUUGAGACCUAGAGACCUUGGAGGGGUCUGCCAGAAAUGCUUGGCAUCCACUCCAUAAAUGCUUUAGUGAAACUUCCCUGCUUGAGCUCUUAUAGGUGGGCCCUUAGCAACUGCUGGGCAGAACCCAGAGGAACGGGCAGUACCAGGCACAGUGCUGAUGUUGGAGGGCUUUCUGGGUGCUAGACAUGGUCAGAGAAGCCUGUUUGAAAUACUUCCUAUCACCCACUUUCAGUCCUUUGGGUCCUGAGAGGGUCCUGUGGGAUCCCACAGGAGGGCAACUAAUCCUGUCCAGAGGCUGGGCGAUGGGGUUAUCAGGGAAGUCUUCCUGGAGGAGGUGGCCCCUGAACUGGGUCUUGUAGGACAAGUGGGAAUUGACCAGAAAAGGAAGGCAGAGGAAAAGAUAUUCUUGGAAGCAGAUGCAGAGAGAGAAAAGGUACAGAGCAAAUGGGCUUGGCUUUCAGGGCUCUCUAUUGCCCAGGGUUCCCUCACCCCAACCCAGGCCUCCAGAAGGCUACCUUGCCCAGGGAAGGAACCCACAGCACCCCAACCUCUCCCAUUUCUGUUCUAACUCCUCUCCACCCACACUCCCUUCUUGGGGUCUUGCCAUAGCCCAUGCCCCCAAACCUGAUUUAUCAGGCCCUGUAACAGAAUAAAUUGAUGUCAAGAGGGCCUCUUUCAAGGGACAAUCAUAUUUUCUUUUUUAAAAAGGAAUAUACUUCACUGGUGGUUUCAUUAUCAUUAUUGUAAGAUAGUUUCACUGAAAGAAUUAGGAAACCAGAAAAAUAAAAGAAAGUCUAUAAAAAAAAUCACCUUAACCCCAACAAUCAGAGUGCCUGCUGGUGAUGUAUUGAUGUAUUGACUAUGUACGUAGGUUUAAGGGGGCCUUUCCCACAAAUAGUAUAGUAUGAACUUUCCCCUAUGCAGCUGAAUAUUCUGUCCAAAGAGCAUUUUGAUGGCUAUUUCUUAGUUUAGGACCCCUUCAUCUAUUGCUGGAUAUCUAGAUUUUCUCCUUUGUAAAUGAUGCUGUGAUGAACACCUUGGAGUAAUCGUGCUGUCAGUGGGCGAGCUCACAGGCCUCCAGGAACAGAGCUCCUGAUGGCAGGCAGCAGGCCAUCAGGGCGCCUGGGAACAGAGCUUCCUCAGUGCUAAUGUGAGACAGGGCUCCUGGGGUUUUGUUCAAACUGAUUCUGCUAAGUGGAUCUGGGGUAGGGCCAGAGAUUUUUUACAGUUCUAACAAGUUCCCAGGUGAAGCUGAUACUUGGAGGAAGGCACUUGGAGGGGCAAGUCCUUGAAGUCCUCCCUGAGGCCACUGUGCUCUGGGGAAGGACCUUAAGCCAGACACAACUUUCUCUGCUGUCCUGGGCACCUUGGGAAGCACAGGCCCUUGGGGGUUUGUCUGAGGCUCCCAGGCAUGUUUACAGCCACUCUGCACCCCUGAAAUUGUUCUCCCAGAGCUCUCAGACCCCCUUGGAGGUUCCCAAAGUCUCCACGUGCCAGCAUCAUUCUGGCGCCACGGUCUGUAGUGGGCCGAUGUUGACUGUCAUUGCUCCUCUUCAGCCCCGGGGCCCACAGAAGUACCACAUUUUCCCAUUAGUGAAGUAGGCUGAUGCUAGGUCCCACUUCACGGAUAUACUAAGGUGUUCCACCUGUGGUGAGUAGUUCUCUGCAAAUACUCAGCCUUGGUACUUUCAGUGCUGGGGGCAUCAGGUGGCCAAGGACAGGGUGUAGGCAGAACCACUCGCUCUGACUCUCCCUGUGUUGUUCCCUCACCUCCUGAGUGUCCUCAAGCUCCUCUGUGACCCCUUCCUUUACCUCUCAGCUUCUCAUGAGUGUCCACCGGUGUCCAUGCUGCAGAAGGGGCCAGAGACACAGGGGCCAAGAAAGCAGCCAUGGUCCCCGACCUUCCCAUCUUCAGGAAGGGUGACAAACAGAUGUGAACAAGAAACAAUAACACACAGCCUCGCAGUCUGAAGCUCGGAUGAGGUGGUCAGGGCAGCUGUGCUUUCGAGAGGUCUGUUCAGCUGAGUGUGAAGAAAGACACUUAUAAUCAUAGGAGAGGCUGUGUCAGGGUUGGAUGGGCAGAGCUUUCCAGAUGAGGAAACAGCACAUGCAAAGGCCCUGAGGCAGUCAAAGUUUUGACAUCUUGGGGGAACUGAAAGAUGCCAAGUGGGGUCAACGUGAGGGGAGUGGGGAGAGGAUACAGCCCCCAGAGGUUAGGGGGCUGGGGCCAGGAGUGGAGGGAAGUUCUGUGGGACUAGGCAAGACUCCGGAGGCAGGACAGGCAGGACAUGGCAAUGGCAGGGAAGCCUUAGGAGCACAAAGCUUGGGACUCUACUGUGGAGAGGAAUACACGGGGGACCAAGCAGGAGGCCUGGCUCUCCUGGCUGCAGAGCAGGGGCUUGGGGCAGGCCCAGGAUGGCACCUCCAUUGUUGGGUGUGAGAGGUAAUUGGGGCCCUCCUGGUACCCUGUGGGGCUGAGGCCUCCCUGGAGCCAGGCUGCAGAACAGGCUGAGGGUGAAGGCCUCCCUUCUGAGGGGCUGGGAGGUGGGAGAGGGUCUCCAUCCCCAUCUCACCCUCUGGCUGAUGGAGGACAGAGCCUUCUAUUGGCCAGAAGUGCGGGCGCCUAUGGGGCUGGCUCCCAUGAGCCCAGGUUGGAUGGCCUCGGGUGUGGGGGUGCUGAGUGGUGGCUGGGCCACUUGCUCGUGGUGUCUGGAGGAGGAGCAGUGGCUGGAGACAGUUGGGCAGGGCUUUUGAGAUGCCUUCCUGGUGUGGUUCCUACAGGCCUCCUGACAGUUUCAAAACUCACAAAAUGAUGAGAGAAGUAGAAUUUUUCUGUGCCUAGGCUAUGGUCAAGAGGCCAAAGUCUGCCUGCCAGCAGUCUGGGACGCAACGGGAGUACAAUGUGGAGGUGCGGGGCACAGGCAGUACAGUUGGGAAUGUGCAGAAACUACGAGUGUGUGUGUGUGUGUGUGUGUGUUGUGUGGGGGAGGUGGUCUGGAUGGAAAGUGGCUCCAAUGGGCAAUUCCAGCUGAGUCCCCUGAAAGUUCCAGGGCCAUGAGGGAUGUGUGUUCUCCAAGCCACUUUUCCGGAAGGCAGAUUCUGGUUUGAGCUGUCUGAUUUCCUUUGCAGAGAGCAUUCCCUGCAGCCUGUCUGCAAGGUUAGGAUCCAGGUAGGUGCUGAUGAGUAAGGGAGAGGGAGAGGGGCCACGGAGACCCACCGGAGCUGGCCCCAAACACUGAGAAGGCCUUGCCAAGCCCUGUGCCUGGAUCCCAUCACAGCAGUCUCAGGAGGUAUGCAGCAGUGAAGCCCAGAGACAGCACGUGACUCCCCCAACAUCACACAGCUACAGGAAGACCAGUGGAAAUAAACUCAGCUGCCAAAUUCAAGGACACUCCAUAGACCAGGGGCCCCUAGAAUCUGUGCUCCUUCCCUCCUUCCCUCCCCUUUCUCCUUCCUUCCUCAUUACUCAAGAAACAAAUUAUGUGAACAUCACUACAAGGCCGCCUGUGCCCUCAGAAAUUCCUAACCCCUGAGCGUCUCCUCCUAGAGGCGGGGGCCCUCCGCCUUCAGAAGGCUCGUGGGUAGACUUGUGAGGAGCUAUUUCUAAGGUAGGAAAAGAGAAAGUAGAUCACAGAGCCCUGGGGAAGGACUGUGGUUGGCACAGAAAAUAAGUGAUAACGUCAGCAGGCGGGCGGGCUGGGGGCUCCUCCCCACAGCUGGCAUGGGGGCAUUGCUGGGGCUCCAGGGACUGAGGCGAGGCUUGUCCUGGGAGCACGGUUCCUGAGUGCAUGAGCUCAGACAGGCGCUGCAGAGGGCCAGGGGUCUGCCUGUGGCCCUGGGGCCACACACACUAAUCGAAAUGGGGUAUCUGUCUGUCUGUGGAGCUGAAUGUCUGCCUUACUCAUCCAGGCCCUGAGUCACCUCGUUUCAAAAUGCUGCCCGGUUCCUGGAACAGAGUCGAGCAUCAGUGGGUGGGCGUGAGUCAUUUCUGCCACUGGGACCUGCCUGCAUCUUGAACCUGGUGAGGCACCAGGGGCCCAAAUGGGGUCCUUGGAGGUCCUUUCUGGAGCCAGCGAGACUUGUGAGAGAGAUGUGCAGCUGAACCUGGCCCAGGUCCGGGGGUGGGGAGCAGAGAGGAUUUGUCCCACAUGGUGUGGCAGCGCCACUAUGACUUCCUGCAGAAACCUGAUUUAUUCCCGGUGGCCAAGUUCCCAGCUCAUGGACCACAUCUCCUGUCCCCCUUUAUAGCUAGUGUUGACUAAGAAGACAUGAAAAGAUUUGCUGGGGCCACUCAGCUGGAAAGCACGCUCUUUAGCAUACUGCCUCCUCUGUCUACCCCAGUUUGUUCUGCUUCUUGCCUGGAAUAAAGACUGAUGGCUGAACUCCAACAGCCAUCUUGGAACACAAGGCAACCUUAAAGGUGGAAACUACAUUGAGGUGGCAGAGCAGAAACUGGGAGAAGUCAAGAAUCCCUGAAAAUUUUGAGAAGCUGCCCUAACACUUCUGGAUAGCCACCUCAGGACUUCUUUCGAUGACAGAAAGAAAAACGUCUGUCUUGUUUAAGUCAUUUCCAUGUGCUUUCUGUCUGUGGUAGAAUGAUUAUGAAAAUAGCUGUCUUAUCCUCUCCUUUCCACACAAUGUGAUGUGUCCUUCCAGUUCCUGCCUCAGAGGUGGAGCUGGCUUCCUCACCCUUGGAAUCUGAGUGGGGCUUGUGGCUUGAUUCGGUCAACAGUAUGUGGCAGGGGGACCAUGAAACAGUUGUGAGUUUAGGUCUCGAGGCCUUACAAGCUUCUGCUCACCUUCUUGAAACCCUGCCUCGCUGGUUUUCUGGGGGGUGAGAGACACAUGGCUCUGUCCCCAUCAUUUUCCUAGCUGACCACCACCAGUCCCCAGAUGACCCAUUGCUGAUACCUAACCACCUGGCCAGGACCAGCCUACAACCUGCAAAGACCAGAGGAUCUCCCCACUAAGCCCAACCCACAUUACUGACCUGCAUGACCUUGGGCUAAAUAAGCUGUUGUUAUUUUAAGCCUGUGGGUUUUGGAGUGAUUUGUUAUACAUCAUUAGUUAAAUGAUGCAGUUAUACCCACCACCUUUAACCAUCAAAGAUACAGUGAGAUGUCCAAAAGGCAGCUUUGCCGCCUUUCUGUCACCUCUAAGCCUCCAGGCUACAUCUCCCCCUGCUCCAUUUCUCCUUUCCUUCUCAUCCUUAUCUGUUCUUCUCUGCCCUUCAUCUACUCAUAGCAUCACAGAAUCUCAGUGCUGAGAUGCCCCAUCUCAUUUAGUUUGACUUUCUGUUUGCCCACAAGAGGGAACGUCCCUAGCACAUGUGAUUACACCCCUUUGCAUGUCUUCUACACCUGGGGGCCUAUUGCAGGGCCAGGAACCUUGGGGAAGAGUUGGAAAGAGGUCUGCUCACCUGAGAACCUCACACCAUCUGUGAGCUGGAAGGCACAUGACCAGUAAGAUCUGGCAAGAUCCACUAGGAUUGGCAAGAUGAGCAGAGAAGCCGGAGGUGGGCGAUAGGGAGGGGUGGGGACUGUGGUGAGCUGUGCUGGCUUCUCCGUCGUGGAUGGCUAUUACGCACCUACAGCAGGUAAAUGCCUUGGAGGACUGGAAGAUUCUCAACAGUCACCUAAUUCUGAAAAGUCAGCAACUAGGAUGACUUUUUAAAUGUUAUUUGUGGACCACAGUAUAUCGGCCAAAGCAAAGCUACCUAAGCCUUUAGGUCCUAAGUGUGUGCCUCUGAUCCAGCAUCUGGUCAGCCUCAACCUCCCCAAAAGUACAAGCACCCCAGGCCCAGUGGCUCAAUGGCCCUGACGGCUGACUUCAGUCCCCGAGCCCAGGACUCUGGGCUGAAAGGACUAUAGACCCUCUAGGGGGCCCACCCACAGGCCUGGCGCUUCUCUGACCUGCCUUGGUUAGAGCAGUCCUUGUGAAGAGGUGUCCCUGGCCAUCCACUGCCUCCAUGUUGUUCUCCCCGCUUUCCUCUUGGGAUGUGACCUGGACUUCAGAGCGUCUUACGUCUCCCUUCAGAGCCCAUGUGAAACCUCCCCAAACCCAGAGCGCCCAAAGUUGUGGAGUCAGAUAGACCUGGGUUCCGACUCCAACUCUGGGUCACCUCAGGAUGUUGUGUAACCAUUGGGAUUGAAAUGCAAUUAGGAUGGUGAGCUAGUGUGUCCAGCUGGAUGUGGGGACCCUUGAGCAUUUGCUGAUGGAUGGUAGCUGUCUGGAGAGGUUCAGAAGUUGGGUGUGGGGUGCCUGUCUGGUCACCUUUCCCAGUCCAUGGGCAUCUCCUGGGUUUGUUCAUCAGAACCCUCCCCCACAUCCCAGCCUGCAGACUCUUGCAUCUUCAUGGAGUCAAUCUCACCAUGGGCACCUGUGUGUCUGUGGAUCUGUGUAUGUGUCUGUGUCUCUGUGUGUGUGUGUAUGUCUGUGUGUGUGUCUGUGUGUAUAUUUGUAUGUGCCUGUGUCUCUGU